rnacentral:tRNA from 1 species
CUAUAGCUCAGCGGAUUAGAGCGUCUGCCUCCGGAGCAGAAGGUCGAGGGUUCGAGUCCCCCUGGGG